rnacentral:rRNA from 1 species
GUAUAACUUAGUGGCAGACGGGUGAGUAAUGUAUAGGAAUCUACCUAGUAGUACGGAAUAAUUGUUGGAAACGACAACUAAUACCGUAUACGCCCUACGGGGGAAAAAUUUAUUGCUAUUAGAUGAGCCUAUAUUAGAUUAGCUAGUUGGUGGGGUAAUAGCCUACCAAGGUAAUGAUCUAUAGCUGAUCUGAGAGGAUGAUCAGCCACACUGGAACUGAGAUACGGUCCAGACUCCUACGGGAGGCAGCAGUGGGGAAUAUUGGACAAUGGGCGAAAGCCUGAUCCAGCCAUGCCGCAUGAGUGAAGAAGGCCUUUGGGUUGUAAAGCUCUUUUAGUGAGGAAGAUAAUGACGGUACUCACAGAAGAAGUCCUGGCUAACUCCGUGCCAGCAGCCGCGGUAAUACGGAGAGGGCUAGCGUUAUUCGGAAUUAUUGGGCGUAAAGGGCGCGUAGGCUGGUUAAUAAGUUAAAAGUGAAAUCCCGAGGCUUAACCUUGGAAUUGCUUUUAAAACUAUUAAUCUAGAGAUUGAAAGAGGAUAGAGGAAUUCCUGAUGUAGAGGUAAAAUUCGUAAAUAUUAGGAGGAACACCAGUGGCGAAGGCGUCUAUCUGGUUCAAAUCUGACGCUGAAGCGCGAAGGCGUGGGGAGCAAACAGGAUUAGAUACCCUGGUAGUCCACGCUGUAAACGAUGAAUGUUAAAUAUGGGGAGUUUACUUUCUGUAUUACAGCUAACGCGUUAAACAUUCCGCCUGGGGACUACGGUCGCAAGAUUAAAACUCAAAGGAAUUGACGGGGACCCGCACAAGCGGUGGAGCAUGUGGUUUAAUUCGAUGCAACGCGAAAAACCUUACCACUUCUUGACAUG